rnacentral:lncRNA from 1 species
GAAGAGCUGCUCUGCCCUGCCUUGCCUCCAGGGUCUUAGAACCUUCCACCAACUUCGUAGGAGUACACAAUGCCAGACAAGCUAUAGCCAUGGCUGGCCACCAGAACCUCUGUUUGUGAUGGAGAAGCCCUUGUGGCCUAAUUACCUCAUAGAUUUCAGCCUACCAUGAGACCUUGGCCACAUUUGAAUUUUACUUGUGUGAAACUGAAGGCUACUGCCAGAGCCUUGUCACUGGUGCCUGCAGCUGCCUCUCUCAGUGAGGUUUGGUUGGUCUGGCUGAGGAGGCACUUUUCCUUUCAGGGAUGGGCCAGGAUCUCUUGCAUCUCACUGGCUUCCUAGCAUUCUGGUUACCUAGAUCAGCAGCUGAGGGAAGAAACAGGGCUGGCUGGCUAUGCUUUUUGCUGCCUUUUCUAUGAUCCCAUCUGUACAGUUGAGCAGCAUGUCUCCUACCUUCUGUCUGCAGAUGUCUCAGUUCAUUGUCCAGUGCCUGAAUCCUUACCGGAAACCUGACUGCAAGGUGGGGAGGAUCACGACGACUGAAGAUUUCAAGCACCUCGCGCGAAAGGUACUUCCUGUGCUUCUGCUCUGUCGGUGUUCUUAGCAAGCUAUGUACCUUCAAAGAUACUCUCCAUCAGGAAGUGUGGUUUAUGUGCCAGAUGCCAAGGCUUGGGGCCCAGGAAUGUGAGGCAAGGUUCAGAGGUAGGAAAGAAGAUAUCUAAGGGACUUUGAAAGCUGGGUUUUCUCCUGUGUCCUGUGCCAGCUUGCCCCCCAGC